GGUGGACUGGCUGAGUGGUUUAAGGCGGCGGUCUUGAAAACCGUUGUAGGUUUGUAGCCUACCUGGGGUUCGAAUCCCUAGUCCACCGCCA
rnacentral:tRNA from 1 species